rnacentral:ncRNA from 1 species
UUGGGGGUGACCCCAAAUCUGAAGGAAGCCAUCAGCAAAGUCAUAGUUCUAACGUACAGAAAUUUGAUAUAAGGCUCAAUAGUGUUGGGCAACCGAGCAAUGGAUUGGGAAAGCCCCAAAGUCAACCGUAAACACUUAGGGUAAAUCAAGUAGGACGUGAUGAAAGUAUGUUAC